GAUAUCAACUGAAAAAGUCAUCAACAACAAGGUUGAAUAACUCAUCAAGAUCUAAAACUUUUAUUUUGGUCAUUUCUUCAUACGACAAAGUGAUAGUAACAUUGUUUACAAAAUUGACAUAUCUCUUAUCUGGUUUUAUAAACUAUAACACAUAUAUGUAAAAUUUGUGAAUAAUAUUACUAACAUUUCGUCAGAUGAAGAAAUAACAAAAAUAAAAGUUUUAGAUCUUGAUGAGUUAUUCAACUUUGUUGUUGAUGACUUUUUCAAUUGAAAUC
rfam:Oryza sativa (indica cultivar-group) chromosome 2, whole genome shotgun sequence.